AAAUUUGCUUUCGGCUGUCCUUUGCUUAGUUAAGGAAUUAGAUUACUCCAGCCUGGAAGUGGUUGAGAUGGCUGUCCGAUGCCGUAUGGAGGAACUAGAUGAUUAGGUUCCAUGCUCCCAGCGUAUUCUUUCCUGGAGUAACUCUGCAGUAUAGUCCUCUUGUUAAGAGAUUGAGAUUAUGGAUACAUAUAUAUGUACAAGUAUGGUUUGUUAUUGAUUGCAUAGGUUAUUUUCCCCUGGAAGUUUAUUAUUAUUCAAGUUUGAUCCCUGUGAGUACUAAAUUAGCCAGGGAUUUCUUAUUUUACUGCAGAGUAUGUUAUGUGAUAUAAUAGACAUGAUAAGGUACUGUUUUUGUUGAUAUUUGUAAUUAGAAGGAAAAGUAAGACUAGAGUAAUUUAUUAAAUUAAAUUUGUUUUAAAUGUCUAUAAUGUCUUUAGCAACUUAAAAUGUUUUUAGAUCUUAUUCAUAAAUUGUGGAUGGCUUUGUUACCGUGAGGCAGGUGCCACCCACUGGGAUGGAGACUGUCUCAUAUGUUGAUCAACAUUGCAUGGAGAAUGCUAUUUUUAUCCUAGUAUGAGAUAGAUUACUUGAAUUUUAUCUCAGUAAAAUUUUAGAUCAUCUUGAAAAAUAUUUAAAUGUUCAUGAUCUAAUUGCUUUAGCUCUUAUCAAUAAAAUUUUGAAAUGUUUCUUCUCUGUGCCAAACUGACACAUUGGCUUAAGAUGAGGUCAUGUUUAAGCUCAGAUAGAGGAAUGAUCUAUAAUCCAGCAUAGCUUGCUUUAUGACAAUCACACUGUAUAUUGUGAAAGCAUUAUUUGCUAACAUAGUGGUCAUUCUGAUAUAUAUAUGUGUUUCAUAUACUAUUCUUAGAGUUGGUGUGAAAUUGCUAUUGCAGGUAAAACAUUUUGAAUUUUUAAUUUGAAAACAUCUUGGUAAUCAAAUGAGACAAAUAGCAGUUCUCAAUUUUGUAAGUUUUUACCAUCAUGACCAAGUUGGGUUAUUGAAUGAUUUUAUUGUUGAUUUUAUAGUAAGUAUGAAACUUGUUUGAUGUAGAAUCAUGAAAAAUGGAAUUGCAUUCCUUUGCAAAUAGCUCAGACAACUUUGGUCUUAUAGACUGUCAGGUAUUGUUUUUGUUGGUAUAUUUUUCUUAUAUUUCAUUUUAAUUAUUAUUAUUAUUAAUAGGGCUUAGUUUUUCCAGACCUCUGAGUCCACUUUGUAAAAGAGGCUAUAACCAUGCAUUCUUACAAAAAUGUGUUAUUGCCUUGUCAUUAACCAUUAACGUAUGUCUUGAAGGAUAGACCAUCCAAAAUUCACUGGGAAGCAAGUUCAUGAUUCUUGACAGUGUGAGUUAAUACUACUUCCUUGAUUGUCUCCAUUCAGUGUCCUUUGUUCUCUUUUGCAUAUUUGUUUUAUCACGCAUUUGUGUCGUCUGUCUCUAUACUGUGGUGAUUUUUUCUUUGAUGUCUUUGCUAUUAACAUCUGAUUUUAUUUUCUCUCUUCUAUCUGUUGCAUAUUAUUAAUUAUUGGGGGUACAAUUAUAUCCAAAGUUUCCAAAUAAAUUUUCAUAAAAUGAAAACCAAUGUCUUAGAGUAAAGUGGUUGAAAUUUACCCCAUUUGUGGGAUAUUGCUUGCCCACUUAUAUUUACCUAUACUUCCCAAGUUUUGGCAGGUCAAACUUAGAUAACUGUCAAUGGCUAAUGGUAUGUAUAGUACCAGUGGUUUUUUAAUAUAGAAAAUAUCUUUUUAACAGAAUAUUAAAAUGAAUGGGUAUAAGGAUUUGUCAUAAAAUACCCAUGAACUUAUGUAUGUCAUCACAUUUCUGUAUCAUCGUUUCCAUGAGUUUAAGGGAGUGCUUACACAAGUUGAAGCUCAACCCCCUACUAUUUUAACUAGAAUCUUAUUUGCUUGAUUUUGUGUUCAAACAAAUCACAAAAAUAUUCUUACUUUUACUUAUGCUUGAGUACGUAGUUAAGGCAGGCAGAUUAAGUGCUGCGCUGAUGCAAAAGAAAUACAGAAGUUGAUACCAGUAAUCCAAUUGAAGCCAUACUAACAUGAUGGUGGUCUCACUUUUAUGAAGAUGGCAGCAAUUCUCAGAAGUUAUUUACUUUCAGAGUAUGUAUUUUAAAUAACUGCUCAUUUCAGGGAAACUGGUUCCAUUCAUUAUGUAAAUACUAUGUACUUUGUUCUUUUUAGCACUUCUUCAGUGCUCGAUUUGUUUGGCCAAAGUAUGGUCAAGAUGUAAGUGAGAGUAAGAGAAUCAGUUUAUGAAACUUUUUAGUUUGCAUUUUAAAUAGAGUGCUUAUACAGAACCACAGUGUAAAAUGCUGAAAGGUAUAUUUUGUAGAUUACAGUAGAAUUAGACACAUUUAAGGUUGAGGUAGACUAGUGUCAAGUUAUAGAUUCAGUAGACAGCUUCUUGAUAAACUUGAUGUAUUCUGUAGCUGGAGGCCAGAUUAUGUGAUACUCUCUCCUACUGCUAACAUUACAGGCCCAUUAUUAAAUCUCCAUGUGGUUCAUCCAUGUCAUUCAUUUUAUGUUCAGUGUUAUGAAAUUGCAAUUUGGACAGGCAACCAAAGGCCCUUAAUUAGCAUGGGUAUAAUGGGAAAAGGUGAAGGAAGAGCUUGUUUAACUUCAAAGGAAUUGGUAGAGAAAAUUCUUGAGAGAUUGAAUGUUUUACGAGUCAUUUCUAAAGCUGGCUUAGGUAAAGAAACAACCACAAAAACUAAUUAGUCUAAAGAUAUUUUUGUUAACAGAAUGCAGUUGGGAAGUGAUGGCCUAGGUUGUGUUAAACUUGAAGAGCUAGGGUAAAGGUUAGGGUGGGUUAGUGGUUAUAGAAAUUGUCUUAUAAGUACUAAUCCUUUUGAAAAAGAUAAAACAAAAAAGUACAUCAGAAAUAAGGGCAAUAUUCCACACUAGCAACUUAGAUAAGGAAAAGAACCUCAACUUGAAAGUAAAAGGCUAAUUUAUAUUAUUCAAAUUGUUAAGUUUAAGCUAUCUGAUCUCUCCAAGACAGUUACAAAGUAACCUUGACUCCAACAGUUAGCACUGUGUCUCUUUCUGUAGCAUUCUCUUUAUAUCUUUAUUUACUUACUUACAUUUUUAACAAUUUUUUUCCUCUUAGAUAAUUACCAUUAUAUCUUUAUUUACUUAUUUACAUUUAAAAAAAAAAAUUUUCCUCUUAGAUAAUUACCAUGGCAUGGUAUUAAGUUUUUUGCAUAUAUUUAAUCACCUUGCAUAUUGAAAAUAUUGAAUAGAUUAUAUUUGAGGGAACUUUCUGUGAUUUGAAUGAAUUUACCUUUCCAGAAUGAGGGAAGUUGCAUUUAUGACAAAAAAAUUGAAUUACAAUAACCAAAGAUAGCCUUUCUUAUAUUUCUACAGUUUUAAUUUUCUCUCAGGGUCUCUGAACCAAGGCCUAAGUACUUGUCGUCAUAUUGCAUAGUGUUAUGUUUAUUGCUAGAGAUGGUAAUGUACCUAAAGCAAACUUUUCUUUGUAGUUUUAGAAGAGGUGGCUAACUUAUCUUUUCCUGUACGUAUGGUAGUAUCUAAAAAACAUGAUUUUGUCAUGGCAGAUAAUCUAGUUAUGGUUACAUUUACUUUGUUGUUUGCUGCAUUUUGAUUGAUGUUACAGUAUGUUGUAAGUGCAGCUUGAUGAAAUUUGCAUAUUUGUUAAUAGAAAGUCUUCUCAUACACUUGAAAUCUCUGAAUAAGUUAAUGUUAUUGUUGGUCAUCUGCUGUAAUAAAUUUUAAGAUCAAAAGUUUGCAAACCUACAUAGGACAUGCUUAUCUAAUGCAAAGAUCCCAUAUAAUUUCAAGUUAUCUAUAUGUGGUGUUGUCGACAUAGUUUAAAACCAAAUAUUGAGAGGAACUUUUGUAUUUUUAUUGAUCUGCAAGAUACUUAUCAAAGCCAUAUAGUUUGGGAAGUGUUUUUGUUGAAACACUUCCCAAGCUGCGUAUGUGGCUUUGACAAGUGUCUUUCAGAUCAAUACAAAUACAAAAUACUUAAGUUCCUUUCAACAUUUAGUUAAAACAGAGGGAAGAUGUACACCAUACAUGAGUAUCUGUCAUUGUUUAAAAAUAUUCAUACCAGAAUAUCAUAACUUAGAUAUUCUAGUUAGGGUCUCUAAAUCUUGUAUCAAGAUUUAUUCCUUAAUCCCUCUAGUUCCAAGGCGAUGAUCGUCCAUAAUUGAUAACUCUUCCAUCCAUUGUGUGUGUGCGUGUGUGUGUGUAUGUGUAUCUGUAAGCUGUAUCUAUGACUUAGAAGUAUUUGCCUAUUUGCCACAACCAUGGUGAUGAUCGUACUAGCCAAGAAGCAGAAGGGUAGAACCUCCUGGAGCCACACCUCCAAAGGGUAAAUGCAUAACUAUAUGUAAGUCCUGGAAAAUUUUCCUUAUUUCUUCACCAAAUGUAUGCAUUGAGUACUGCCUGUGAUAAGAGGAUGGGAUGAGUGGUUGUUAAGAGUGGUCCAUUAUUUGAUGCGUUAUGUGAAGGAUUGUGCAACAUCAAGUUAGGGAGUGUUUGGGAUGAUGAUAAUUUUUGUUGCUUAGCUGGUCAGAGUUAUCUGAAAAUGGAUGGCAUGUCCAGUAACAUUGUGAAUGAAACUUCCAUAAUGUUCAUAUCAUGUUAAGUCUUCAAGUUAAAAAGUAGAUUUUUGUAUUCCACUUUACUGAUAAUUAAGAAUGCCCAUAAUAUUUAAGUCCACAGUUGUAAUUGUGUUGUACCAGUAACAAGCAUUCACCAAAAAUUUAUAGUUGUAAGAGGUUCAUUCACUUUCUGUUGAAUUUUGUGUGUUCUGUACUGAAUAUGUGCUCAUUUUUAUUCACCUCCAGGCAGCUGUAAAUCACUCGUAUAGCUGAAAGUAGACCAUCCCAAAUUUAAGUAAUAUUUGAGUCCCUCUUAUUCACUAAUUGAUUGCUGGUCAUUUCGUGUAAUUUUUGUGCUGAUAGGUUAUCUCUCUUAAGUUCAUUGUGGAUAUCUUAACUGACUGUUAAAUCCUUGUUUUUUUACUAUUUUUUUGACUGAUAAGCAUGAAAUGUAGUUUGAUGCGAGGUAAAGGUAGUAAGAUUGAUAGAUUAAUGUUCUGAUGUCAAAGUACUUGAAUGUAAAGUGCUUCUGUUUCAUUGGAAACUAAUAUCUGCCAGAUGAAUUCAAGUUUUGCCUACAAUGCAACUGCUGGAUACAGUGAUUCUUUACAUCCCAUAUGAUUUUUAUGAAGAUGUUGGAGCUGGAAUACUAUCUCAGUGGUCAGUAAGUGCGAACAUCUUUUUAAGUAAAAUUACUCAUAGAGAUAAACCAGCACGAGCAUUUCAGUUUAUUUUUAGCAGCUAUGAACACAAAGCAUACACAUGCAUUCCUUAAGCAUAUAAUCUGACCCUGUGCCUGCUUGAUCUAAGUCCUCUGUGAGACUUUCUUUCAUGCAGGAAGCACAAAAUACAAGCAGUCAGUUUUAAAAAUUUUUUUAAUUAAUUUCAUUUUUUUCAGAAUGUUUACAAACAAGUUCUUUGAGCUAAAGUAACUAAUAAUGAAUAAUCAAAGAUUUAGUGAUUUAUUCUUAGAAAGCAAAGUGGUUAGUUAAAAGGAAAUAAGCAGUCACUUCAUAAAUUCUCAUCCUCAUUGUGUGAUAAUUCAGUCUCACUCCAGUUACCAUUCAGUUAUUACUUAAGUUUUGAUGGUCUGUUUCACAUCCUGCUUAUAGAAUCACUUGUCUAAUGAUAAUUUGGGUUUUUGGGUGAAUGAAAGUUGUUUUAUAAUUUAGUUUCCUCCCUUUGUUUCCACUAUUUGUGAAAAUGUUGUAGUCUUUGGGUUGAGAAAAUACUCGUUAUUUAGGAAUGGAUUCGAAGAAGUACUGUGAUUUUGCUUUCUGAGUAGUUGAGUUUGUGUUGGCUUGGUUCUAACAAAAUGCUCUACUACUAUGAAGAUUUUUGUGGAUAUAAGUUUUAGUAGAUAGUAGUAGUAUUCAAUGAGAAAUCUCAUUAUUCAACGAGGGUACAGAUUUCAUUUGCUGACCUUAGUGUCUCGUGUUAGUUGUACAUUUUCUUGAAAAAGUUGCAUUUUGUUCUGAAUAGUAUGUUGAAUCUUAAAUGAUUUAUCAUCUGCAUUCAGUAAAACUUAUUAAACACCAUUAUGCUUCCAAGUGUGUUUCUUAUGGCAUUGGAGGGAUUUGACAUAAGGGUGAUUUUUAUAUAAUGUGUAUCUUGAUUGUCCAUUGUGCAUAAGUGGACACUAUAUGGGUUUCUUGGUAGUAUUUUUGUCAUUUCUGGUUUAACUUUUUUGAAGCUAACUGUAAAGCUUAUUGAUGCCCAUCUCUAUGUUUAGGAUUCCGUUUUAGGACUUUGAGAGAAAGAACCUUAAUUUCUCCACAGAUUCAAUCCAAACUUCAACCUCUUGUUUUGUAACAUAUAUUUCAUACUUUUUGAAACAUUAUUCAAUAGUCUGGUAAUAGCUUUGAUUGUCUAAGAUGGUGAUAUUUGAUUGUUAGCCAAGUUGUGUAUGUAUUUGAUAUGGAGUCCAUUAAAUUGAGGUUGUUGUACUUACAAGAGGAAGUGCACAAAUGUUACUGUUUUCUUUUAGUUGGUGAAAGUUAUUUUCCUUUAAAGAAUUGUAAGCUAUUUUUUUAGGGAUAUUGGAAAAGACAUACCAAAGUGAAACUCAUACAAGUUACAACAGCUACACCAAAUGUUUUCUGACCAAUUACGCUUACUUUUGCAGUAUAUCUGAUGAAUAUGCUUGUGCUUAUGUAUACUUACUCAACUUUUAUUAUAAAACAGAUCAGACUGAAAGAACAGUUUAUAGAUAAACAAGUGUUUUUGUACUUGCUUUCAGGUGUAUCCAUGUACCAAGGGAUAUCUUUAUAGGUUUUUUAUAUGAAUACUACUAGACUUUAGAUUGUGCUUUUUAAGAAUUAUUAUUUAGCAACUCAAAGAGCCAAAUUAAACAGAUAUUUAGUACCAUGCCUGUAUCAAAUUAUUGGCUUUUUAAAAGACUGGUUUAGGUGAAUCUUGAUUGUGAUCAAUGAAGGUGUUGGCCCCGAAUGUUAUACUUGUGAAGAAAGAUAAAAUCUUUCUUAAGAAUGUGACAAUCUUGCAGUAAUAGUGUGGGGUGAAAAGGCCUUACAAAAUUUGGUACUACUCACAACUUGUUUAGAUAAUUUUAAUAUUUGAUUUUAUUCAAUGGAAAUGUGCAUGGUACAGUAUUCUUGGCUUUGGUGUUCAAGGAAUUUCGAUGAAUCUUGCUUUACUUUCAGAAGAUUGGAAUUAGUAGCCAUGAUUACAAGAAAAAUAAUAUGCAAAUGUAGAGUUAUUAGCUAUGCAUUGUGAUAUGGUUGUUGUAUGAUACAGCUCUUUACCUUUUAGAAUGUCACUGCAUUUCCUUGUGGCACUGAUACUGUAAACAGAUCCUUUUUCAGGGAACUAUUCCCAUUAACUAACAUGACCCUGCACCCAUAGAUAAAACCUAAUUCUACACAUAAUUAAUGUGAAUAUAUAAAGUGAGGUAUAUUGCCCUGAAAACCAUUUGCUUUGAUUGGUUAGACAUUUAGUCCAUGAGUGAUAUAGAAAUAUUCGAUGUCACAAGAAAUCUGUAUUUUAACAGCAUUUUUUCUUGUGAAAUCACUGGAUCACAUAAUGGAAAUGGUGAAUUUUGGCAUGUUUUAAAUUUUUACUUUGGGUAUCAAAAAUAUAUUUUGUGCCUUAUCUCUCACCCCGAAAAAGAAAUGAUAAAUACCGUAAUCUUUUUAAGUAUUUGCUCGUUUCAUAUUCUUUAUUUGAGGAAGAAUGAAUUACGAAAUUGUAUCUGUAUGCACUUUUAUGCAUUUGAUUUUUCUUUCAUACUUCUAUUCUUACCAUUUAAUAUGUACUUAGCCCUCAACAUUAAAGUUUUGUGAUUUCUUUACUUUUUUUUUUUUACAUUUAGAGUUUUAUAGUGAAUAUUUACUAACCUCAGUUGGCUAACCAUUAUUGUGUACCUUGGGAAUUUAGGAACUUAGUUUUUCCAAGGAAUAGAAUUCUCAUUAGGAUUAAGUUUAGAAUUCCAGGUCUUCUGAUGCUCACAAUCAUAACUUUAAGAUGCAAUAUGUUUUGUUUAAGGUCACAGCAACUUGAAUGAAAUUAUUUUAUAAUACGCAUGCCACCUUUUCAUUGUUAAAUUAUAUGAAUUAUAAAAGCAUUCUCACAAAAAUAUUUCAGUUGGUUGAUAAGCUUUGUGUGUUCAAGUAUUUUGUGGUGCUCUUCUUUUCUGGUUGUUAUUUUUAAGAUUUAUUUGAAAUCAGAUUUGGUUUUCAAGGUAAGUGAAGUGUAUUAAAUUGCAGUGUAUCAGAGGCCAUUUUUAUAAGAUCUUGCCUUGUGUUUGCUUUUAAGAUUCAGUGUUAACCUUUUCUCUUUUCCAGGGGUAAGUUCCCCAUGAGUUUUACAAGAAUAUUUAGAUUGACUUCAAAUUUACAUCAAGGGCUUUAAUAAUCUCUCCAUUGAUGUUUUCAUAAUUUUAGAAGCUGUGUGACAUGCAUAAAUCUUAUUGUUGUUCUAAACUUUUAAUGGAUAUUGGGAACUUGUAUCUUGUAUCUAUAAUACUAACCCAAGUUUUCUAUGUAUACUUUUGUGUAGUGCAACAAAAAAAUUACCCUACGCAAAAUUCACACAAAUUACCAUAGUGCCAAGUAUAGAAAACUGGGGAGGAGUAAGCUCCUUAUUUAUAUUAAAUUUUCUCCUUACUUCAUUAUUUAUUUAGAAAUAAUAAUCAGAAUUUGUUUUAGUCUUUUAAUUAUAUAAAUUAGUAUUUAUUUCCGUAUUUUUAAUUAAUCCAGUUUUCUGUAGUGCUCUUGAGGUUUAGAUCUCUAGCUGUUUAUACAAUGUUAUUUAUUGAUUUACUGAUUAAGAAUUGGAAUAGGGAGCUUAAUAAAGAUCUGUAGGGAUAUGGUAUGUGCAGUUUGUCUUCCAGACACUUUGACCUUCUUAACCUCAGAGAUUUUACAGAAAGUAUGACCUGUUCCAUGAGUGGUCUUUGCAACAUAUACAUUAAAGGAGCAUCAGGUUUAGUGUAUGUUUGUAAGUUGUAUCUCUUACUGACAGGGAAGAAACUCUGGAAAGUGCUACUUGAAAUGCUUCAUUCCUUAGUUUCUGCUGAUAAAUAUGUAAUUGUUCCCUUGUCCAAGCUCAGGGUACUGCAUUCUCUCUCUCUCUCUCUCUUCUCUCUCUCUCUCUCUCUCUCUCCUUGGCAUGCCUGGAAUGGGUAAUUUUAAUCAGAGUCAAAAAAGUUUGGACAUUUAUACUCCAGCCAACAGUUAUGAUGUCCUUUUUUUCUCAUUUUCAAUAAUGCAGUUGCCCUUUCCAUCUCCACCCACUUGGUUUACAUGUUCAGGUCACAUAUGUAUGAUUAUACAGUGCUUUUAAGAUCUCUUGGCCCAUAGGUCUUAAUUGUUUUCCUGUGAUAGUGUCUAAAGUGGAAUUAACUCUGUGAGUCCUCAGCUGUUAUUUUAUUUUCUGUAUUAGUGCAGCUUGUCAAACCUUAACACAGGUUUUUGGGAGAACUGAGAGCCAGUAUCUGUUGAACAUUGUUUCAAGUCUCCAACCAAGAAGGACAUGCAAGUUAGCCUCACAGAAGUGGACAGCUUAAUGUAUUUGUUCUCUCUGGAACAAGCAGACCUAGUUUAGGGGAUUAGACAUGAGUAGAUGAGGUGGAUUCAGUUGAGUUUGUCUCAGUGAAGUACUGUAUAAUAGUAAUGGGUAAAUGAAACACCUACCACUGGCAAGUUGCUUUCAUUAUCAAAGGCAGGAGAGUUUUUAGGACCAUGUGUUUUUUUGUGUGUGCCAAAGCAUUAGCUUCUGUAUGCCCUUGGACUUGCCCUCAGUGUUGUAGGAAACUCCUGGAAUUCAAGUUCCCAUUACCAUUGGGGGCCCCUUAUGAGAGUUUCAAAAUGGUACUCGUUGUCGUGCUCAACCUUCAGGUCCUGUAACAUGGAUGGAUGGAUACCAAAAUAAGACAUCAAACAAAUGCUGAGAAUCUACAAAAAGUGAUCGUCCUCCUGCAACUCAGAUUGUGGGUGUUCCUGCAUUCUUGUAAAGGAUCAUUAUCAAAAGAUCAUGGGUAGAUGAUUUAAUUAUUUUUAAAAAAGAAUGCUUGUGAAGGUGAGAGAAAAAGCAACCCUUCAUCAGUAUGGUGGUGAGUCUUUAUGUUCUUUCUAAUGUUUGUAGUGUCACAUUUUUCAUGUAGAUAUUUCUCAUAUUUUAGUGAGAUGUAUAUUUGGAAAGGAAAUGUUUACUUUAUUUCAAGAUCUCAUGAAAUGUAUCAUAUUCUUAGGAUAUGUGAAGCAGAGCACUGACAGAAUUCUUGAACCAAAAAGUAUCACAUUCUUUUGGUGGCAAAGUGUAUUUUUAUUCUAUACAGUUGGGUUGGUUUUAAUAUAACUAAGGUUUUUGUAUUUGAAUAUGGUGCAAUGAAUGGAUUUCAGUUUUAUAUUUCAUUUCUGUGUAUAUAAAUACUGUAAUCUUGACAGAUUCUUCUGCUGCUGGAGUUCUUAGAGUAAUUCCUGUUUAGAACUUGUAUGUAUUUUUGCAGCAAAAUUUGUCAGUGAACACCGUGCAAGAUGGAUCACACGAGAAUUAAAGUUUUGUACAAGUCCAUUCAGCUUCCAAAGGAAGAUGUUUAGUAACUUGCAAGUUACUUUUGCCAGUAGAACUGCUGUUCUGGAUAUAGUGUGAGCUGUUAGCCUAGUAUUUUUACCGAAAUUUCUUCAUUGACUGUCAAUUAAGGUAAAGUACAUCUGUCAUAUUUGUCUCAUGUUCUAAGAGGUCCUCAGCCCCUCACAGACGAUUUCUUUGAUGCAUUCCCAUUGUCUAUCCUUCCCCUCCCACUAGGGAGUAUUUAAUGCACAUUUUUCUCAAUAAAUGGCAGUGUUGUUGCCUUUUUUGAUAAAGAGCUUCAGGUAUUAAGUGCCAUGAGUUCUUGCCAAAACGCAUUCUUAUUUUUACCAUUACAUUGCCCUCAGCAAUCAAAUAUAGUGACAAAAAGCUAGUAGUGAAUAUUAUAGACCUAAUAAAUUCAGAUGAAAAUAGCAGCAAAUGAUAGACUUCAGAAUCCCAACAAAAGUUUAGAAAAUGCAGCAAUAAUAUGAAAAGACAAAAAUUACUGUAUAAUUCAAUAUACCUGUAUAAUUCAAAAACAGAAUCAACCAGUAUAAUAAUAUUUUUAUUCUUCCUGUUUUUCUGUAACUUCCAAGUUAACUUGGUAAUGUAAAAGUCAUAUUUCAAUGUUUAAUAAUUUCCAAAGGACUUGUGAUUUUUAGCAAAAACUCUGACAAUGAUUGGAGAUUUUUCGCAAAAAUUCAGACAAUGAUCGGAGAAUUUUCAAUCAUCUGCAAGUCAACUUCUAGAGGGAACAUCCAUAUCCCUAUCAAAGACGACAAAGUGUAAACUCUUUCAAGUUUCUGGAUACCUAGGCAGAUGGCUCACAUUAUCGUUUUAACUAUUUUGUACUAUUGGUCAGUAGUAUUAAUCUUCAGUCAUGUAACUGGAUUUCAUAGCUUUAUGACAGUCACCAACCAAGACCAAGGCCUGAGAGCUACGUUUUCAGGCCUUGGUCCCAUUUUUGAUGCGCAAACAUCUCCAUGUAUACCCGAUUCUUGUGAAGCCAAAGUGCAUGGAAUGUUUUUGUCUUUUGUGUUCAAAAUGCAUUUUGUUUUAUUUUGGUUUAGUAACAUUUAAUUAUUUGUUAUCAUAGUGUAAGUUUGUUUUGAUACAUACAUCUGAGGGCAGGUUUUUAUAUUUUUUUCAUUUGAUGCUUGUCAGCUUUCAGAAGAAAUAUUCUAAAAUCUUUAUCUUCGUAAAUCAGGAAUCUUAUCUUUUGUUACCUUUAAUGUUUUCCUAGAACCUCCCUUUUAUGAUUGAACUUAAAAGUACAGCUUGCCUUAAUCAUUUUAAUCCAUUACAUGUAACCAAUACCCACAACUCCUGAUAUACAGUUAACAUUAUUAUAUAAAUGUUAAUGAUAACUUUAUUUCCAACUGAAUUUGACCAUAGUCUUGGGCAUGAAAUUGCUGAUAAGAUUUUUAAAAUUCAUCCCAGUUUUUUGUGAGUUCUGUUUCUUGGUAUCAAAUUGCAAAUAAUGAAACAGAAACACUGCAGUGCCUCUAAUAUGUGAUUGAUCUAACUUGCUGUUACUGUGAUUGCUAUCGACAACCUUAGAGUCUGAAAAAAAUGAAAAACAAUAGGCUGAUGGGAUAUAAGGUCAGAUUGCUUUCUAUUCGUUUUUCUUAAAUUUUUUUUUUAUCAUUCUUAGAGUUUUGUAUAACAAGGACAUUUUACCUUAGUUUACAAAUGUAUUUGGUUUCCUUUUUUGUCAUGGUUGGGAAAGGUAGGCUUUGAUAAUUUAGUUUUGAUUGCUUUGAUAAUGUAGUUUUGACUGAAUUAUUCUCAUGUUAAUUUGUCAUGAAACUACAUUGACAGUAUACAUUCUUUAUCAUUUAGGACAUUGUUUAAGCUGUAGCCAGAUAACCACAUUUGCAGAAUUGGACACUAUAAAAUAUUUUCAUUACUAAAUUGUAUAAAAUAUCUGGUGAAUAUACCAGGUAUUCUUACAGAACAGAACGCUUAAUGCAUGGCAAACAGAUAAAAUAAAUAUGUCUUGCUCAGAAGGAAGCAACGUACAUCAAAUUCUUAACAAAAUUAAAUUGAACGGCUGGUUUCCCCCAGAAUUGAAUUGAAUUUUCUUUCUUUAAAUUGGCAUUUGUCUCUAAUCUUGUGGCACAGAGGUGGUAACUAACACUUGGGUGUCACACAAAGUCUUUUAAAGGCCAAUUUUCAUUUUAGUUAUUGUCUUGCAGGCCAGUGAAGAGACAGCAUAUUUGCAGGACUGAAGUUUAUUGCUUUAUUCAAUGGCUUACCUGACUUACCUAGAAUUUAGUUGAAAUGUUUAGCUGCUUACAAGUUCAGAUACAUAUAGUACCAGUAUUGACUAUCUUCAGUUUUAAGGAUUUUCUCUUUCUGAUAGUGUUAUUAUUUUAGUAAUUACAUUUAAAUUACAGGCACUUUGUAAACUUCCUGACUCUUGAUGUUUUAUCAUAUAAAGUACAUUUACUCAAAUCCUCGGACACCUGGACACUGCUGGCGAGGAAGAGUAGUUUCAGAGGAAGCCAUAAUCCUAAACACAAACACUCAAUCAGACUGGAAAGAAAGAACAUGGGCAAAACACAACCGGCCUGGAAGGAGAGCAAAGCAUACGCGUCUACUCUCCCAAGGCGGUUAGGAAAAGACUGGGUAUCACGGGGUGAGACGCGGUGUUUGACCAGAUCUCACCUCAUAUACGCAGGCGUUGUCAGAUCUCACAGAUUCCUUGCUUACAAUCUCUAAUUGUAUUAACCAGUUUACCAGCUGCACUUGGAAAUAUCCUAUUGUUAAGACUGGAGGUUUGUUAGCUAUGAAAAAUACAAAUUGAUUCUAAAAUUUGUCAUUUUAUUUUGUCAAAGAAGACAGUUACCCAACUUCAUUAAAUGAUUGAGUUUGAUCAACCCCUAAGGAUCCACAAAUUAUUUUCCUUUCUAAGUUCUUGGCUAUCUUAGUUUCUUUUGUUUGAUAUCCACAUUUUCUUAAGGUGACUUCUCUCCUUCAUUCCAUAUUAGAUUGGUAAUUAUUUUCUUUUAUUUUUUGAUCCAUAUGCUAAGUGACAUCCAAGUAAUUGCAUAGUUAGAUCAGUCACAUUGUUAAGAUAAUUCAGUUUGAUAAGGUACUUUUGUGUCCUGGGACUUAUCAACUUCUUAUUUCCAGAUAUAUAAUGUGAAAUGUAUAUUUCAUUAACAGAUUUAUCCAAUACUAAUUAUUGCCUGAAUUAAAAAUAUGGGUUAGUUGUUACCCAGUAAGGUUUUAGCAUGCAUUCAAAAUAAUAAAAGUGAUGGUAUUUGUAAUAGAGAUUAAAUUAAAGUGUAACAGUA